rnacentral:sRNA from 1 species
AUCCGAUCGUCAGGGGCGAACGAUCUGCCCUUGCGAAUGCCGAU